rnacentral:rRNA from 1 species
GCUCCCUAAAUGUUCUGAAGGCAACAAAUACCAUCUAAUCUCAGAAACUAAGCCGAGUCAGGCCUGGUUAGUAUUUAGUUAAGUGAUUGCCAAGGAAUACCAGGUGCUGAAAGCU